AUUGAACGCUGGCGGCAGGCCUAACACAUGCAAGUCGAACGAGUGGCGGACGGGUGAGUAAUGUAUGGGACCCUGCCUGAUGGAGGGGGAUAACUACUGGACACGGUAGCUAAUACCGCAUACCAGCAGAUGGGCCCAGAUGGGAUUAGCUUGUUGGUGGGGUAACGGCUCACCAAGCCGACGAUCCCUAGCUGGUCUGAGAGGAUGACCAGCCACACUGCAACGGAGACACGGUCCAGACUCCUACGGGAGGGGGCAGUGGGGAAUAUUGCACAAUGGGGGCAAGCCUGAUGCAGCCCUGCCGCGUGUAUGAAGAAGGGCUUCGGGUUGUAAAGGACUUUCAGCGGGGAGGCUUUACCCGCAGAAGAAGCACCGGCUAACUCCGUGCCAGCAGCCGCGGUAAUUC
rnacentral:rRNA from 1 species